rfam:Tupaia chinensis contig74974, whole genome shotgun sequence.
GUACUCGCUUUGGCAGCACAUAUACUAACAUUGGAAUGAUGCAGAGAUUAGCAUGGCCCCUGUACAAAGAUCACACACCAAUUUAUGAAGCUCUCCCUAUUUUU